rnacentral:rRNA from 1 species
UACGAAGGGGGCUAGCGUUGCUCGGAAUCACUGGGCGUAAAGGGUGCGUAGGCGGGUCUUUUAAGUCAGGGGUGAAAUCCUGGAGCUCAACUCCAGAACUGCCUUUGAUACUGAGGAUCUUGAGUUCGGGAGAGGUGAGUGGAACUGCGAGUGUAGAGGUGAAAUUCGUAGAUAUUCGCAAGAACACCAGUGGCGAAGGCGGCUCACUGGCCCGUUACUGACGCUGAGGCACGGAAAGCGUGGGGAGCAAACAGGGA